UCUCUCUCUCUCUCUCUCUCUCUCUCUCUCUCUCUCUCUCUCUUGUAAAAGAGAAAUAUAUUCUCCUUCCGAGGGCGUUUCCGAUACUAAUGUAAAAUGACAGUAGAUCCUGAAAGUGGCAUGUUAUCCUACGCAACUCUCUACGCUGACUACAAAGACGCGGUAUUGCGAUAAAAAGUCGGGCAACGACGCAGAAAAAUCAUCGUAGCGCCGCACUGAAAGCGGCGCUUGCGGCAUGGCAAGAAAGCCAACUGGAAGAGCUCGUUACCGUUUCUUUGAACGAACGUGUUAAACGGCGGCUGUACAUAAUUGAAUGGUCGGCUCUAUUCAGGAUCGAGAAUCGAUCAGCAAAGAGAAAGAGAGAGAGAGAGAGGCCGGACUCUUUUUGCCGCCAUUCUGAUGAUUUGUUCGUAGACCGAAAAGAAGAGCCUUUUCUCAGCUCGACUCGUGGCGUCGAACUAAUAUCUCAAGGAGGAGAACGGUCUCGGAGUCUCUCGUUACCGUUAUUACGAGUCCACGGCAGCAUCACGUGCGAAAGCGCUUUGCUCGCGGGAGCCAUUUUUCGAUUAAACGCGACCGGAAAUUGCGUGGCGGGAAAUCCUGCGGCUGACCUAAUAAAACAUUCACUCUGUCUAUUAGCGAUUGUCCUUAAUGUGUCUUAAAUUAGUCGAGUGUCAUUUCGUCCGCGGUAAAAUUUCAUAACGGCCGCAUUCAGUGCGUGUCGAUGGCUACAUGCAGUAACUUGAAACAUCUUUGAAUUACCUUUGCGUCAGAAUUUUGAUAGAGUGCGAAAAUAAUUUAAAAAAAAUACACACUUCUCGUUAAGCAAUAACGAAACGCUAUACGUGUGUACGAGACAUCGUACGAGACUGUGUUCACGGAUAAGACCAGAAUGAGAUAGUCGUCGCCAUUUAACGAUAUUACGCAAUUUUCAGUCUGGCGACGAUCUCGUCUCUCUCAGCUGUCGCAUUACGCGAACGGUGCACGAAAAGGGGGGCGAUAGAGCUCGAAAGAAUUUAAUCGCGCCACGGACCACCCUGCCCGAUCGAAUUCCGCCGGAUGGUAUAACUCACGCCGACGCGGUAUCGGGUUCCUCCUCUUUCAACGAUAAUUCGAUUUGGAUCUCGAUUUAAAUCACGACGCCGUUGCGCCGCGCGUUGAUUACAGGCCGCGCGGCGGUACGCAAGAGCGAGGCCGAGGCAGGCGCGAUAACGAAACGCGCGCGAAGUGCGCGGUCGUCCUACGCGCCGCCCUACGUCCACGUCGUCGUCUACGAUCGAUCGCACGAUCGAUCGGGCACGUUUGACCUGCCGUACGUGCCGCCGCCGCAGCUGUACGUGAAUGAUCGAUUCUGCGCGCGAUUGAUACCGUUCCCCGAGAGCGAUAGCGAGAGCGGCCUGGCCGGCCGUUUCCUCGCGCGGAAGGGGUCGGUCCGCUUGAUCUCCGGCGUUAUGCCGGGGUAAUUCAUGACUUUCGUGCCGUGACUCCGGGGGACGGCGGCGGUCCAUGGGCUCAUUCCCGGUGAAAAAUUUCACGCCGGCGUACGCGAUCGAAACGAUUCGCCAAUACCCAAUCUCUCAACGGUAUCACAGAACCUCGAUAGCCUGUGAAUUUAUUUUCUCUUGUCGAGGAAGACGAUUUUAAUUGAAAUAUAUUUUAUUGAACGGAGGAAAGAGGUAUUUUGCACAGACGAUAAGAAUUAUUACAUACUAAUGUGACGAUGUGAAUUUUAUUGCAAAACAAUAUUUAAGUGAAGCUCGAAUUACAAAGUAGAAGUAGAAAAGAGUUGCCAUAUGCGUACUUAAAAUUAUAUUUCGCAUUUAGUACUAUUUGGGAUGCAAAUUAUUCCAUAUUAAAUCUUUUAUUAAUAAUAAAUUAAUGUGUGUGUGUGUGUGUGUGUAUUACAAGCUUUUUGUAACAUGCUACAAAAGGUACGAUUUAGGGAACCGGUUGCCUAAGUCGUGCCUCCUAAAUCGUAUAUUUUUUGAAAAUUGAAUUUAUGAGUGAAAAUAAUUAAAAAUAUACUAAAUAUCGUUUAUAUUAAGUAAAACUAUAAAAUAUUGAAGUGGCACGAUUUAGGCAACCGCUACGCAUUCAGCAACUCUCCCUUAUGUUUAAUCGAUGGGAAAUCGAUCGCCUCGAAAUUCUCACUAAUCAGCAACCUUUUUGCACAGUUUUUUGCACCGCCGCACGAUGAUAAUAAUUACAUCACGCCUCGACAACCACCGAGUGUCGAUUUUGCACGCCUCUUAUUCCCUGGAAACGAAAGUCGGCCGCCUAAUUCGAAGACAGCGCUUUGAUACGCACAACUUCCUACGGUGAAACGGUGAUUAGGUGCCUUAUCUUUUGCGUGUAUCGUCAUCGGAUAUGCGCGCGAGAUAAGAUCUAUAUAUAUACUCUUCACCGACAGGAACACGCGCGUUGCUUUCCUCCGUUCGAUAUUUAAUGUACACCUCGUACGUUUAGCGCUCGACGUCCGGCCAUUCGUGCGCGGAACGCCCCCGUUUUCGUGUAUCUCUAUCUCGCGAGAUUAUUAUUUGCAGGAGCCUCCGUGACGGCGAUGUAAAUUUAUAAGUAAAAGUAACGCACGGUGGUUUCACAGACCCGCGCGCAAGACGCUUUCGUAUCGCGCAAAUUUGAUGUUUUCAGCUCGCCUCGCUCACCGGCAGAACAGAGCCGCGCGAAAGUGCACCGCGUGUGUUUCUAACUGUGUAAGAAGCCAAGAUGAUCAAGUAAGAGAGAGAGAGAGAGAGGAGGAUCGACGAGAGAGUAACGAUAGCUCGUACGAAUACCCGUGAAUAAUCUCCAUAUACGUAUAAAAUAUUUAAUUCAUUAUUUUUUAAUAUCGCUACGUGGUUUAAUUUUUCUAUAAUUAUGGAACAAUACUUUGUCCGCUGAAAUCAAUGGUUGUUAAAUCCAUUUAUAUUAAUAAUAGAUUACAACCAAAUAAAAAGAGAUAAUAAAAGUCAAUGAUACAUAAUAUUGCAUAAUAACGAUGUAAACCAUUAAUUAUAAUUUUUACAUGACAGGACGACAACCGCCGCGAUCGUUCGCCGAUCAUUUUAAUAAACUGCUGUUAUUAAUCAAUAAAAUUACAAACGAUCAUCCUUUAACGUUAUUACGUAAAAAAAAAGAUUUCAAAGAUAGAAAGACAGAUGUAGGCCUAACGGACCCCGGGCAACAGCUGAUGGACGAAGAGUUGAGCGUGCAGGUGCAUUUUGACGCACCAGAGCGAUUUCCCGGUGUUUAGAAAAUCCGUUGAAGGUAAAAGGAAAGCUUCGGAGCCAAGGCGCCAGUCACCGUCGAACGUCAAAGUCAUCCGUUGGCCGACAUUGGUCGCGGACGACACCCGCGGCGUCAUUGUUGUUCACCGUGGCGUCGCGGCGCGUACAUAAGGAUCCCUCUUUCCAUCGGUAUACUUUCUAGUCCCCGACGCAACGUCGUCCGGGGAAAGGGGAAAAGAGGAAGUUCUCGUUGGGGCCGGGAGUUUCUUCCGUUUCUGUGAAUUUAGAUCGAGAGUCUCUCGCAGGCGACACUUGGCCCCGCGACGAGCCGCGGCCCAGCUUCCACGAGGACGUAAAAGGAGGACUGUCCAAGAAAGUCUUGAACCGUCAUAAUGCCAUGUACGUCCGUCACGUCUCUCCACGACUAAUCUGUUCAGUCACGCGGUAUACGCAGCGAUCGUUUUGUCGGCGACCCCGAGAGAAUUCUCACAAUUCGUUACAAAUUAUUCCUAAAUGUUCUCUAGUUCAGGGCUAGGAGCGUGAAAGUCGCGCUAAAAACCUUGAUCGUUCCGACAUUAGACGAUCGUCGAUGCGCACACACACACACACACACACACACAUACGCACAACGUACUCUACUACGAAACUAAUCUAGGAAAUUUUAAGUAGUGUUAUGGGAGAAAGCUAUAAAAGAUAAAAAUAGUGUAUACAUACACACCGUUGAAAAUACGGUAUAUAUUAUAAAAUAUAAAAGAUGCAAAAAAGUAUGUAUACACAUUUUCUCUAUUUAUCUGUUAAAUUCCGCGCGCGGGAACUUAAUUUAUUCAAGACACUACCUCGUAGGCGUAUGCACAGCACCGUCCAAUUAAUCAGAAAUAUAUUCAGACUUUUUUUUCCCCCCCCCCGCAAGUGAGAGACCGGCAAUAUAACCGGUCGAUUAGCAGGGGAGUUGAUGGACGAGAAUCCUGCUGGACGGUACCGCCGUAGCUAUCGCGGGAACUGGAAGUUUCACCCAUUAUGAACGCACUCUUCUCCCGCGAUUAGAUCCCUCUCUAAGCGCCUCUCACCAGCGACGGCGGCGGCGGCGGCGGCGACCUUCGAGGCCACGGUUGGCCAGUUCUGGCCUUGACAGCAGUUCGGGAGAGGGAAUCCAAACAACAAAUUGAACCAGCAGCAGCAGCAGCAGGAAAAGCUCUUCUACAUCGCCCGUCGCGGUUGCAUCGACGCUCUUUCUUUCGCUUCCUCGCUCAUCUCGCCACCGAAAUCCCAACCCACGACUUAUGAAUAGCGGAUCGAUCUCAACUCUCACACGCCGGCCCGGUCCAUUCUCACCAUCUCGGCUGACUGCACCGGUCGCAUCUCUCUUCUUCUUCGCCACGCCCCGCUCUUCGUAACGGCCUGAACGAAUCUCGCACGAAACUUUAACUUAAAUCCACGAGAUACCGCACUUUAAAAGUUUCAGACUGGACACGAAGGAUUUAUCAAAUUGUAUGUCGAUUGAUCGUAAUAAAAAUUAUCGAAAUGGAUGGUAAUAUUGUUUUCUUGAUUUGGGAACGUUUGAGAAAUUGCAAUUUUGUAAGCAAGUCAUCGUGUAGCAAAACGGCAGUAUUCCACUUUGUGUUUUUCCUAGAGAACCGCUAGAUAUUCCGCAGAGAUUAUUAAGCUUGUAGGAACUUCUAAUAAUAGUCGGGCACAUUUACGCGGAUGCCUACUUUAUAUGGAAAUUGGACGUGUCGGCGAUUUUUAUAUCCAUUCCUGACAGAUUUGCUUGGAAAAAGUGCAACGGGGAAUGUUAAUUAAUGACGAUUGGUGAAGGUUGGCCAAAAAUGGGCACGUGGCGUAACGCAUUACGCAAAGUGUGUUAACUGUCCGUAAAAGGAUUUCGGCGAAUUUGAAUGACGAUGCCUCGCCGAGCAAAAAUGUAUACGAGGGAAGAUAUUUCAUGCCAAGAAUAAGAUGGCAGAGUUUGCGAAAUCUAGCAGAGCCUUCUUCAUCCAACACUUUCUCAACGGCAAUUUUAUAACAUGAGCGACUAAUCUGCAAUUACAUAAAACAAAAUUUUUGUUAUAAAGACGUACGUGUGUGCGUGUGUUGAUACGUUUAGAGAGAGAAGGAAAGUAGAUCAAUUUCGUAACUUGCAACUUCUUCCACUAAAGGCCGACUUUAUACCGAAAGUGAAUCUUACAAAUGAUAGACUUGUCCGCUCUUAUUAUAAACGCUUCGCAUGCGUGGCGUAAACACGAGACGGACAUUCCGCAAUUUUUUGCGCGUACGAUCGACGGUCAAGAAUGAGCGGAGGUACAUUAUAGACGUCUCCCGUGCGAACUCGUCUCGUCUCGUCCGUAAGGAGAGAGAGCCGGUUGAGAACCCUCGAGAUUCAGGUUCUACACAGGGCGACCCGAGACCGCGGAGAGACUUGGGUGGCAUGAGAGCCGGUGGUCGCGCCCUGCGCUAACCCAACCUGACGUAGCCUAAGAUCGACUCUCUCUCUCUCUUUCUGUCUCUCGCGACUAGGAUUCUCUCCGCCUCGAAACCGCAUAUCGGCCGACGGUCCACCACCGUGUACGGAUCGAGUCCCUUAAGUAGUCACGGAUAUCCGCCGGCUACUUACCCUGGCAAGAACCGAAAUCACUGCCGAGCGAAACGCCUACCUGAGUACAAUAACUGCGUUAGAAGGGGCGUUUGGUGUUCGAGGGAAUUCGGUCGAGAAUAGAUUCGAGGUCCAUUGGAAUGAACGCCGACGGUAUAAAAAUUGGAGAGAGAGACACCAGUAACACACAUAGAGAUCUUCCCCGAGACGGUCCAACUCUUUUCAGGCGAGGGGUUCUAAGGAUUCUUAGACUUUUGUGCUCCCUUGGAUAGGCAGCAAUUUCAUGGAAGUGGCGUUCGCUAAAGAGGACUGGGGUGUCCCUCUAAAAUCGGCUUGGCUGCAAUUGUCAAGGAGGGGGUGGGGGGAGAGACGAAGAGCCCAUCCGUUUUUGGCGGUGAAGAAAAAUUAUCUCAUUUACGGAAAGGAAAGCCGCCAUUGAUCGAGGAGAACCUUGUUCGCCCAAUUUCUCCCGAACGCGGCCAUCACGUGAAAAGCAAAAUUUCACCUGCCCGACUUAAGUGUCAUAGCGUAAAUCGUCCAUUUGUCGGCCGUUUAAGGAAUUAACUUGCGCCCCUUGUUGAUUAACAGGUGUCUCGCUGAACACACGAUACAAAUCUUUCCCGUUACUAAUUUUACAUUAUCUUAUUAUUCAUUCUUAAAUUAUGAAAUCGUGGAAGCCUCGUUCCACGAAUCCGACGAGGCUCGCUGCAAGUAACAUUUCCCGAGGCGAAGAUCCUCCUCCGGAUUCAGUCUUCGUGGUACACUGUGAAGCAUCAAUUUGGCGUUUAAUCGAUUUUCCACGGCAUCAUCUACGCCGCCACGAUCAUAGGACGAUCAUGAGAUCACGAUGGGGCACGAGGAGAGAACUUCAUCUCGGGCGAGCGAACGGACAGCUCCGCGGAUGGAUUUAUUCAACUGGAUCCUCUCUGGUCCGUCGCCGUACCGUCGAGAUGACGGUACAUCGGUCCAAUUAGUCGCAGCAAUAAUGAUUACUCGUAGCCGGAUUUCUCGUUACCGAUUCACCGCGACAAUCGAUCGGAUUCGCGGCACGCUGGAGAGACCGGUGUUGAUAAUUCCUUCAUUGUGCGCAAGUGGCACGUAACUCGCCCGUCAUCGCGGUUCGAAUCGUCCCGCGGCGUGGGAUAUGUUCGCCAGAUGGAUAUCCGGAAAAUUACGAGAUGAAGAUCGAUAAACCCGGGGCCCCGUCGUCUUGGAAAACGGCGCAUGCGGGUAUAAGAGUUAUGAAACGUCAUUUGCAUAUGACCACGAUGCAAGAUCCCCUCCGCCCCCCCCCCCCCUCCCCGAUAGGACUUCAUUCCGGACCAGUCGUGGACGCGAUGUCUUGCGUUUCGGAGACGGGAUCCGGUCUCGAAGACGAAUGCCCACGUCGCGCGGCCGUGCGCGCAAACCUGUCGUGGCCAGCGCAACGUUUACGGUACAGGAAACGCGAUCUCCGCCGGUCGUCGUGUAUCCGAUAGAUAUGCAUCUGUCUGGCGGUUGUAUCUAGGCUAAAAGGCUUCCUAUGAAUCUAAAAAUAAAAUUGUGUCAAACGCGUUGAGUCGCGUGUCGUGUCGUACCGUGUAUCGCGUCGCGUUAGAGGAAUACGUAAACGUUAAUUGCUAUUUGAAUUAACAUUAAACGGAUAUAUCGUAUCGACGUUACUUCUCCGGUCUUUAAUCUUCCGAGGUCCCCGAGAGAGAGAGAGAGAGACGGGGUCACCGUUACUCCGCGUCGCGCUGACGCAGACCCCGCAAUUAUUUUCGUAGAGAAUCCCCGCGCUUAACGAUCCAUAUCGUCUACGAGACGAACGUCUCGUCUCGGCGAAGCAAAAAAAAGCUAUUCGUUAUUUUCCAUGUAAUAACUGCUAUCGCAGUAACUCACAGUCUCAACCGUCCGCCGAAGCGGGCAGACCCGGCGUACGGCGGCCGCGGCUCUGUUGGCGACAGUAAGCGCUCACGGCGCACACGCGUAUUCUCGCGUCUCGUUAUCCUUUAAAUGACGCAAUAACCGACUGCACGCGCAAGCGGUUUCCUCGUAAAAGUGUUUCGUUAGUUCGGGGCGUCGUUAGUGAUUUAAGUAAUUGGCCGUAAAGCGCGACAAACCGUGCGCACGCACGGUUGGUGAUUCACAGCUAACGGGAUAGAGAAGAAGCGGCCCGUGUGGGAAAUUACGACUGUCCUCUCGGUGCAUCUCUUAUCAACGACCGCGAAUAAUAACCACGGUUAAAUAAACGAGUUUAAGCCCUGUUCCCGGAAAGCUCGCGGGUCCUCGCCAACGGGAAACGUACUUGUGAUAAUAAAUUGAAAAUAAUAACACGCUAUUAGUGCCGACGUGACGUGGUAAUCGACGUGUAUGAUUAACGUACUAAUAAUAGCUAAUUAAUAUAAUGGGCCGUUAUUCCGUUAUAUUUGAGAAAAGGAGGAACGCCGUAACCCACGCGUGGCGGCUACGUGUAUGUAUGUACGUAUACACGGUAUACGAUACGCGCGGACCGGGCGAAUUUAUGACAUUUCGAUUUCGCGAUCGUCGCGCACGAUCAGAUCGCUCGAUCGAGCGGCGCGUCGCGGUGCAAUUAAGUGAAUCGUGUCCCAGAUCUUGGGACGGCGGCGGUUCGUGUAUAUACGCUAUCAAAAGUAAGACCUGGCUGGUAGACUGACGCGACUUAUGACCCCGCGCUUACGGUAUCGCUCAACCUUUUUCAUGCUCAACAAAGAGAUCGUUGUCCUCUCACCCGCUAAGCUGCGGGGGAGGGUAUAGGAUCUUCUACGGCUUACGACUCGUAUCGAAAUUCAAGAAGACGACGAUGACAGUGCGCCACGUGGGAACCAGAACGCCGCGCGCCGUCGUGUUUAUAAAUAUACGCCAUAUAAAUCUCCGUUGCGACUAGGCACGUUACGUUCGAACGUAAAUCUCGCGGUCUUGAGAAACUCCGAGGGCAAACUUUAGAUAUUCCGUCUUGAAUGACAAAUAUAUUUUUCUUUUCCUCUCCCGAAUGUUGAUGAAGAGAGAGAGAGAGAGAGAGAGAGAGAGAGAGAGAGAGAGAGAGAGAUGACACAUUUCUGUUGAACUUUAAGAAACUUUAAUCCGACAUUUGCUUUGCAAGGCGCUAGCCUCGUAAGUGGAAUUAAUUUCCGUUGUUGUUGCUAUUGUUGCGGAACCUCUUUUCUACAUGCGAACACUAGCGGAAUCUACUAAGACGAUAGCAGUGAUAGCGGACGUGUGGGAACCGGGAUGGAGGUAACGGCGCGAUAUGCAUGAUCGCCGGUAGCAAUACGUGCAUAUGCAAAUGCCCGCUCGCGAUUCGUUUACAUAUGCAAAACAUAUGGCAAUAACGAAACGAGGCGGCGAGAAACUCAAGAUCGCGAGGAUGUACAAAUUUAAUUGUCCCCGUACGCUCUGCCGCGGCCUAAUAACUCGAACGAUCGAGAUUUUUAACAUGAUUUUACGAUUUAAGAACAAAAUCAGCUGUUCGAGGACGUGACGAUCCAAGAGGUCAGAGAUUAUUCGAAACUUUAAAAAGAAUAUCCGAAAAGCCCGCAGGGCUUUAAAAAAAAACUCUGAUACAUCCAUUUUCGGAUACGUAUGAUAAUCGGAGCGAAUGAGAAGGGAUAUCAUUAUUCCAGGUCGACCGCUGCGAUUUAUCCGUCGUCGGUGGCACGAAAUUCAGUCUGUCGUAACGGAUCCGACAUAGAUACCCGGGAACGCAACACAACAAACGAGGCGCGACACGCAUAGCCCGAUAUUUCGUAUAGCUGUAGGAUGCAAUCGGGAUAUGCAGCUUGUAUAUAUAAUACAUAUAUGUAUACGCGGCGACACGUGAUACAUAAUACGCGCGCGUAUAUACCGUAUGCGGCGGAGAAAACACUAUCGAGGAGUCUCGGUGCGGACACGGCGGAGGUCUCGGCAAGGACCGUUAGGAGGCUUCAAGGAUAUCCUGCGUCUCUCGCGCUGCGGCGAUCGGCGGGAAUUAUUUUGCCUGCUCCCGCACGCACGGGAAAAGGGAUCGUUAAGGAUCGCUCUCUAUCUCACGCUUCUGUGAACGCAUCUGACUUUUUAUAAGCGAGCGAAAUUUUUGUAUUCUCGAUAAAGAGUUUUAAAAAAUGUUCCUUGCAAAUCCGAAGAAACGUUAUCCGCGACGUGUCGAUUUGCCGGCGCGAAUAAUUGCAAUUAACGGGGGAACGUCCUGAAUCUGGCGAGCGCGCGUCUGCCUGCAAUAAAUGAAUCCCGAUAAAAGAAAUUCCGAGCCAUUGUAGUUGGCGGUUUCUUCGGUACAUUGUCAUAGCGACGCUACCGCCGACAGGUGAGAAGAAGCCAAGAGUUGAGUCGAGCUGAUCGCCGAGAGGCAACGAUUGGAGAGCGGCGGCUUAUGUGGCCUACUGGCCCAGUAAGGGGCCUUCGUACGCGUAUCGCCCAUCACGUAUUUGGCGCCAAUAUUCACUUGCUCCCAAAGGGGCCUUAUUACCGCUCGUAAUUAAGCCUCGGGGCAGAGGGGGGGGGGGGUUCGAUCGGAAGAAGACUCGAGACGAACGGUCCCGCUUGCGCGCUCGCAUCGAGCGAGCAUCACGCGAAACGAAUUCGACUUUAGAUUUCGGGGCGGAAGGCACAAAGGGGGAGCGCUAAGUUGCCUGCGCGAUUAAUAACGCUAGAUAAAGCCGCGCUAAAUUAUGCGCGGGUCGCGACAUUAGACGUUGGGAGGACGACGAGUUGGCCAUAAAUCGACGCCAGCCGCUCUAAUGGCGCAAACUAUGCAACGGCCCUAAAAACGCGAUGAUUCCGAGCUAUACCGCGCCUCUCCGCAAAAAAACGUUCCGCAAACUAACUUGCUCUCUUUAUAUUUCUUCUACUUCUCUAGUUAGAUCGAAACCGUAACACUCUAUCGAAAUGCAACCACGUUGCUCGCGGGAAAUUCGAUGCAGCCAGCCGUGAAGGAGUGAAGUGUUAAUGAAGUGUUAUGAAAGUGUAAACAUCGCCGAGCGGCGGCGGGACUGUCCCGGAAUAAAAUCAAACAAAAAUACUAUUUUCAGACGAAUCGUAUAUGCUAAGUGGACGCGCUAAGACGUGCAUCGUGCCACUUGUGUCUUUUUUAUUCGACAGUUUGGACAGGCCGACCUCCGCCAGGCCUGUGUCGAAAUUACACGCCCACGGCAGCACGGUUUAUGUUUCUAGAGAGGGAUCUACAAAUAAUUAUGGCCACUUCCCUAAAUCAAUAGUGCGUUCCCCACGUGGAUCCCUUCUGGGAAAACCAGGUCUAAAAGGAGAUUGGCUGCACCGAGAGUUCAAUAUCGAGGAUUUUUGUCUCAGGUUGAAUUCUAUGCUGCGGGUCAGUCCAGUGAAACAAUGGCAUCAAAGGUAAGUUUUGCAUCGUUUUUUUUUUAUGAUUCUCUCAUCGUGGGCACAUCGCGUUUGGGAAACCGCUGCAAUGCGGCGCGCGUUUUAAUGCCCCGUAGAUUCACACGUGGUGGCGGACCGGGCCGACUACGACUUCCUGCCGACGGCCGAGCGAGCGGGUCACACGAGGAGAUAUAACGCAAGCCGGAUACGGAGCUGCAUAAUUGUACACAUUGGCCGUGUUUCAGCCGUGUUAAUCUUUGUCGUACGAGCGCGUCGUGCGACCCUUAAGGUCGCGCUUCCCCGAGCACGCCGCGGAAGUGUGAAAUUAGUUCGGCGUAAGAGGACGAAAUUAUUCUACACAGCUACAUGCACAUAUGAUAUCUAAUUUCCAUGUAACGAACACCAUUUGACGAAUUAGCUCUGCGUUUAGCUAAUUUCGCGAUUAUUACGUAAUUUUUGUAUGUGUUUGGUCUUUUAAAAAAAAGCAUGGAUAUAAAUAUAUAUAUUUCGUACGAUGCCGAUGAGAAAAUUUCUAUCGAUAUCGAUUAUACGUUCGUUUAUUUUUUUCUUUUUUGCUUACUAACUAAAACUUGCUACACUAUAGUUUUUUAUAAGGAUACUGUAGAGUGCAAAAGGUAUAUCUUCGUAUUUUUAUAAAUUUGUUUUGGUUGGUAAGAUGAAAAAUUUUGGAUAAUAUAAUAUUAUGGUAAUAUAGAAGUUUUCCGUGUGUGUGAUUACUAUUAAAUAAUAUUUGGUUAUUAAAUACAGUUUAAUUUAAA